AAACAAUGAAGUCCUAGACACUGAAGGGCCCAGACGAGGUACUUGAGGCUGGAAGGCCGGGAGGCGUGGCGAGUUUUGGCCACCAUGGCUGAGACCAAAGUCCUCAAAGGUUUGUCGCCGAAGCAAGUCUGUCGCCGGUGAGGGCCCUCUGAGGGGUCGCCAGGCGAUGCUCUGAGGCCGCUGCUUCCCGGUGUGCUGAGGGCGUGGCCAACCCACCGUGAAUCAAUUCCAUCAUUCAGGCAAUUGUAGGACAUUACCCAGUGCGGCAACUAUUGACCUUCAACACUACACAUGAUCAAUGGCAAGGGAAUCUACUCUUUCUAUUACUGUUUUUUGUCUAAGUGAGGCCUUAACCAAAUACAUCAAACAGCUGGUAAAAUGAGGAACAUAUUCUAUAAGAAAAACUGCUAACAGAAGAUUGAAGUGUUUUUAUUUUUUCUCGUUUUUAUAUAAAUUUAACAAUAUUAACGUUUCAAAAAAUGUGAAAUGCAAAUUUUAGCAAAAAUAAAAAUGCUGACAUUAACUUUCAUGACCUUAUCACUGCAUUACUCUCAGAGGCAGUUGUAGAACCCUAACUAGUGAACGGAUACGCUUGCCUUCCAUCUGUGUACGGACGUGUCUGCUGCGGACCGCCUAAAGCUGCCUUCCUCAUGUCCCAAAGGCCUUAUACACGCCAUGCAAACAAUGUGUUUACCACUGGCACAAAGUUCUCUUGUUUAUGUACAACUGACAUUUGUAUGAAAACAGUGUUGUAUCAACACCUGAGUUGGAUACACCAGAUAACCUGGAGUGCACCCUGUAAUACCAUGACACAACACUUUUCCAAACCUGUUGUGCUGAAAGCCUUGAAAAUAUCUCUACUGCCACCAGCUACAUCAGUGCUGAAGCAGAUUAUCUGAGAAGCAAGCAAUUUUGCUGAAGCUACAGUGAAAGUGCUGACUUCCUGAUAUUUGUGCGCAAAUCAGUGAACUGAGACCAGACCUUUGAAGGGGGUAGAAUGAACAUGUUUUUUAAAGAACAAAUAACAAUGCAGGACAACAUAAUUAUGAUUGGAUUUCACUGCACUAUUUUUCUCACCCACAAGACAGGAAAAAGAACUUUUAAAAUUAGCUGAAUAAUGCAUUUGUGAUGAACUAGUAAGGGAUAUAAACAAAUACUCUAUUCGAACAAAUAAUUUCAAGGUCAUGAGAGAGAGAGAGAGAGAGAGAGAGAGAGAGAGAGAGAGAGAGAGAGAGAGAGAGAGAGAGAGAGAGAGAGAGAGAGUGUGUGUGUGUGUGUGUGUG